GGAGUGUUGCAUCUCCCUAUAACAUGAGAUGUGCAUAUACAGUAUGUAGCAUUUUGGAAUUCAUACCGUGCUAGCAAGUUGCUUUCAGUUUGAUUAGGCAAUCAUUGUUUCGUUUUCCUUGCUUUGACAUUGAACCAAGACUGUAGCUGAUACGCAAUGUCACUUACAACAUUAAUCAGAUACUGCAUUUAAGCUUGAUACAGAGUAGCCACAGAGAGAACCUACAUGCUAUUUCGCUGAGCUGAUUUUGCCUGAGCAUACCCGUUUAUGCUAUCUUAACAAGACAGUAGCAUCACAGCAACCUGAAUUUAGGCUUCAGACAUUGGGGAUAGACUCUUCAGUGACACAGUGAGGCAUACUUCAACAUCUGGCACUGCCUGGUAAUUGAUUCCAAAUGUGUAACAAGAAGAGAGACUAGGUAAUUAUAACUCUUUUUUGUUUAGAAGUAGCUAUUUUGGCUUGUGUUAUCUGACACUAGCAGUCCUAUAGGGCAGUGGUUCUCAACCGUUUUUUACCAGCAGCCAUUUGUAAACAUCGAUGGCCAGUCCCAACCCAGUGCCCCUUACUCCCGACCCUCUACCCGCCACUACCGGGCCCCAGGCCCUUAGUGUUUGGGGCAAGGGGUGGGUAUGUGAGGCACGGAGGACACCAAGCAGC